rnacentral:lncRNA from 10 species
CAAGCGAUUCUCCUGCCUCAGCCUCCGGAGUAGCUGGGACUACAGGCGCCUGCCACCAAGCGAGCUUCAUUUUAUCACCACCCGGCUCUGGGUGGCAAGGAGUAUCUGUGUUACUUUGUAAAGAGGGCAAAGAUUGUGGGCACAGCGUUUUCGGAGGAUUCUGUUGGUUUCUAGUCUCCUCUGGAUGACAUCACCAAUCUGAAGUCCCUUGCUUGUAUCAUAACAAAGUGUCCUUUGUUAUUUUCUCAGAUAGAGAAAAUAGAUGAGGAAACUGCAGCUCAGAGAGGUGAAGCGACUUGUCCAAAAUGACAGUUACCAGUUGGGGUAGCUGGAUGUUGUUCUCACCCAGAAUGAAAGAGCAAGUUAUGGAACAAAUCUGUACAUGGCUGCUGGUGCUAAGACUUUUCUAAAUCCAGGACCAGGGUUAGAAAAGCCAGGAGCUAUGGCAGUUGUCAGCACGUGGCACCUCCAGACACAGAAACGAAAGGGUCUGCGGUGGAGUCCUUUUUCCUCUACUCCCUCCGGGAGGGCCUGGCUGCUCACG